ACCGAAGACAAGGAGGCAUACAUAGAAUAUGUCCUCGUAAAUGAUGGGAAAGUGAUGGACAUAUUGCACACCUAUGUGCCAUAUUGCACACCUAUGUGCCACGUUCCAAAAGGGGAUUAGGCAUGGCUUCUCACCUCUGUGUUGCAGCCUUCGAUCACCCCACUUGUUCUUAUGUCUCUGUAAGUUCAAUUAUCCUAUUAGUUUCUCUUUCUGGGUUUUCCUUCUUCUUUUUCCUGCAGUCUUUGAUACUUUUUUUGGCCCUUUUGCCUUUCGGGUCUUGUUAUUGUGGUAUGAUCUGUAUGUUUGGUGGGUUUAUUAAUCUUUAGGAUAUGGAUUUAUCAUUUUUGUAAUAUUUUUCUAUAUGCCUCGGGUCGCCUUUGUGUUUUUCAUUGACAAAUGCAGGAAAAUACGAGUAAUUAAAUUGACAUUAACAGCUUUGUAUCCUCUGAAUUUAAGGCAUGAGAAUUUUUGCAAUUCAAUCCAUUUCGACUACGAUUCAACUGUAAAUCUAUUUCUUGACUACUGAUUCGCAUCCUACUGGUCUGAUUAGCUUCAAUUUUUAUUAGAACCAUAAGCAAAGCCCCGUUACUGUUUUGUGGAGGCAUCCGACUUACGAGGCUUUGUUUCUUGCCCCUUGCCUUGGCAGGAC
rnacentral:lncRNA from 1 species